UAGUUACUGCAGUGCUACCAAAAUACUUGGAAGAGAAUGGAGAAGGCAACAUUCCUUAAGAUAUUUUUAGUCUCUUUUUUGCUUAUUUUAUUAGGUAAACAAUUUAGAUCAACUUACCUAUAUUAUAUAUUAAGUAGAAGUUCAUAUUCAACCAGGUUAUAGUCACACUUUGUUUAUAAAUUUGAGGCAAUGCAUUUUUUUGUCAGAAGCUCUUUCUAACAAGUACUUAUUUUGAUCAAGCUUCCAAAAUCUGCUUAUUUUGAAAAGUAUAUGUUGUCAGACUUUCUAAUAUAAAUAAUUUUUCUGAAAAAUAAGCACUUUUAACUUCCCAAAAAAUUUACGCAACAUGCUAUUAGUAUCUAAAAGAUAUCGCUCAUACUUCAAAGAUCGAAUGUCUACUUUUAUUUUUGCAUUAUAUUAGCCAAAAUGUUAUAAAUAUAUAGAUAUUAAAUUAUCCUUUCUUCUACAAAUAAUUUAUUUUCAUAUUUAUUCUAUAUAUUGUACUAUAUAUUUUCUUUUCUAGCAAAUUGUAAGUAUAGCAAUUUGUGUCUUUUUAUAUGUUUAAAUAUGAUAAGUCUAGUUAAUUUUUUGUUUUUAAUAACUUAAUAUUCAACAAUGUCUCAUUGAUGCUAGGACAUUCAAGCAAUGGGAUAUUUUUAUGCUCUAACGAUGCCGAUUGCGCUGGAAUUAUGAAAUGCAUAGACGCCGCAGAUCCCAAAUGCGACUUAACUGCAAAAGCGUGCUUCUGUCCAAAACCUCCGGCAGCUAAUAAUGGAGCAAAAAGAGUUCAGAAGACUGACCAAAAGUGAUUUAUGAUUGAAUUUUUCAUUGGUAAUAAGGAUCAAUAAAAU
rnacentral:lncRNA from 1 species